UUACGACCAUGUCAAAUUGAAACACCGGGUCUCGUACGAUUACCGAAGUUAAGCAACGUCGAGUCUGAUCUGUAACUAGAUGAGUGACCGCUUGGGAAUACUAAGUGAUGUAAG